rnacentral:piRNA from 1 species
UGGGAAAGGUCUUCUAUGUUGUUGAACAU